GGACAUAGCUCAAUGGUAGAGCACUUGCCUAACAUGUGCAAGGUCCUGGGUUUGAUCCCCAGUACCA
rnacentral:tRNA from 1 species